AGAACUCAGCUUAUUAUUUCUUUCCACAGCUUUAUAUUCUGUUAUAUUAUUCUGUGUGUUUUUCUGGAUCCCUUUUGUCUACUUCUACUAUGAAGAAAAGGAUGAUGAUGAUACUAGUAAAUGUACUCAAAUUAAAACGGCAUUCAAGUAUACUUUGGGAUUUGCUGUAAUUUGUGCACUUCUUCUUUUAGUUGGUUCUAGAGGUUAGAAGUCCGUGGUCAGAAUGUUGGCAAGUUUGGUUUCUG